GCUCUUUCUAGCUGUGGUGAUUUAUUUGCAUCAAGGCCGGAUUUUGAGGGGAGGCAUGGCGAGGUGCGCACCUCCCCUGAGAUCGUUUUGCACCUCCCCUGAGAAUUUUUGCACCUCUCCUGAAAGGUCAUGCACCUCCCCUUGGGAAUGUUUCAAUGAUGGAACAAAGUGAAAAUGUGAUGGUUGCUUAGGAUCAGUGUUAAGUACCCUUUAAAUGCAAUGUUUUGAUAGAAACUUUGUAGCAAUUGUAUAAUGAAGGGCAAGAUUGGAGUCAUACAGUCAUGAUUCAUUAAUACACUGGUACAUAUGUACACUACAUGCAUACCUCACCUCGUUGAUAUUGGCCUGUUCUACAAUAACCUAACUUUCCAUGGGAGUUGUCAGCUAGACCGCUGCACCUCCCCUAAAAUUUUUUCCGCCUCCCCCACUAUUUUCACCAAAAUCCGGCCUUGAUUUGCAUCUCUUUGCCUAGUUUUAAAAUUAGUCUAUAAUGGGAAUUGUCUAUUGUUAAUGUUAACAUAAGAGACUUUUUAUUUGGCUUCCAUUUAUGAAUAUUAAAGGUCUAUAAACAUUGUUAUUUGUUGUUUUGUGAUAAUUUUUAAAACUACUGUAAUGUUUUUUCAAACUGGUAAAUCUUUUCAAAGCCCCCCUUCUUUCGUCUCUCUGUAUUUUU